rnacentral:rRNA from 1 species
AGUGAACGCUGGCGGUAGGCCUAACACAUGCAAGUCGAACGGCAGCACAGUAGGAGCUUGCUCUUACGGGUGGCGAGUGGCGGACGGGUGAGGAAUACAUCGGAAUCUACUUUUUCGUGGGGGAUAACGUAGGGAAACUUACGCUAAUACCGCAUACGACCUACGGGUGAAAGCAGGGGAUCUUCGGACCUUGCGCGAUUGAAUGGGCCGAUGUCGGAUUAGCUAGUUGGCGGGGUAAAGGCCCACCAAGGCGACGAUCCGUAGCUGGUCUGAGAGGAUGAUCAGGCACACUGGAACUGAGACACGGUCCAGACUCCUACGGGAGGCAGCAGUGGGGAAUAUUGGACAAUGGGCGCAAGCCUGAUCCAGCCAUACCGCGUGGGUGAAGAAGGCCUUCGGGUUGUAAAGCCCUUUUGUUGGGAAAGAAAAGCAGCAGGUUAAUACCCCGCUGUUCUGACGGUACCCAAAGAAUAAGCACCGGCUAACUUCGUG